AGACAGCCUUGGUCUGAGGGAGAAAAGACAGAGAAUUCAUGUGCUGCCCAGGCAUAGCCACAUAGCAGGUGGACAUCCCUGGACACUUUUCUGUCAUACACUGUGAGAGUCAUGAAUAAGAGCAGAAGUCCACAAAAUGCAGAUGUAAAUAAUGUCCUUUAAUAACAUUUUUAUGAAUUAGACCUUUAAGCUGUCAUUAUGAGACUUACUUUAUUCAUGCUGAAUUUCAUUUAAAAUGUCAACUUCUUAAGAUUCUACAU
rnacentral:antisense_RNA from 1 species